AUAAGUAAGAUCACCCGGUAUAAUCAAUAUUUGCUUGAUUUUUAAAUCGCUAUCACCUCAAGUGACCCAAAUUAAGCAAAAAUGUUAAUCAAGGCCUGGCCGAUGAGACUAAAGCAACCCGAAAACAUAUAAAUAAACAUUGAAGAUUGAAGACAACAAUUUCAAUUUAUAUGUAUAGUAAAAGCCUGGAAUCGAUCCAAACUACAGCGCGUGUGUACUAUUGAAUGCGAUUUUUGAGGCGAUUCGAACUUCGCUCGAAUUUUGGCUGAAUCUCGGCAAGAUUCUGAAUGGAUGUGAUGUGAAACAGUUCGGAGUGAAUGCAUCUUUGAUUUUAGAUAGAACUUCCGCUGAAAUUUCCCCAUAGUGUCCACACUAAGGAUGGCAGGGGUUGAAGUGACCUUUGGCGUAUGGGACUAUGUGGUGGUUGCAAUUGUUCUUCUCAUAUCAGCCUCUAUUGGCGUCUAUUAUCGGUUUACCGGCGGUAAACAGAAAACAGUACAGGUGA